rnacentral:rRNA from 1 species
UGGGGAAUCUUGCACAAUGGGGGAAACCCUGAUGCAGCGACGCCGCGUGAGCGAUGAAGCCCUUCGGGGCGUAAAGCUCUUUCGGCAGGAACGAUAAUGACGGUACCUGCAGAAGAAGCUGCGGCUAACUACGUGCCAGCAGCCGCGGUAAUACGUAGGCAGCAAGCGUUGUUCGGAGUUACUGGGCGUAAAGAGUAUGUAGGCGGUGUCCUAAGUUCGGGUGUGAAAUCUCCCGGCUCAACUGGGAGGGUGCGCCGAAGACUGGGAUGCUGGAGUCUCGGAGAGGAACGCGGAAUUCCUGGUGUAGCGGUGAAAUGCGUAGAUAUCAGGAGGAACACCAGUGGUGUAGACGGCGUUCUGGACGAGUACUGACGCUGAGAUACGAAAGCGUGGGGAGCAAACAGGAUUAGAUACCCUGGUAGUCCACGCCCUAAACGAUGCACAUUUGGUGUGAGCCAUUCAGUUGGUUCGUGCCGGAGCUAACGCGUUAAAUGUGCCGCC